rnacentral:rRNA from 1 species
ACGGAGGGUGCAAGCGUUGUUCGGAAUUACUGGGCGUAAAGGGCGUGUAGGCGGUCCGCUAAGUCUGAUGUGAAAGCCCGAGGCUUACCCUCGGAAGUGCAUUGGAGACUGGCGGACUAGAGUCCCGGAGAGGAGGGUGGAAUUCCUGGUGUAGCGGUGAAAUGCGUAGAUAUCAGGAGGAACACCGGUGGCGAAGGCGGCCCUCUGGACGGUGACUGACGCUGAGACGCGAAAGCGUGGGGAGCAAACAGGA